rnacentral:rRNA from 1 species
UUAAGCGACUAAGCGUACACGGUGGAUGCCCUGGCAGUCAGAGGCGAUGAAGGGCGUGCUAAUCUGCGAUAAGCGCCGGUAAGGUGAUAUGAACCGUUAUAACCGGCGAUACCCGAAUGGGGAAACCCAGUGUGACUCGUCACACUAUCAUUAACUGAAUCCAUAGGUUAAUGAGGCGAACCGGGGGAACUGAAACAUCUAAGUACCCCGAGGAAAAGAAAUCAACCGAGAUUCCCCCAGUAGCGGCGAGCGAACGGGGAGGAGCCCAGAGCCUGAAUCAGCAUGUGUGUUAGUGGAAGCGUCUGGAAAGGCGCGCGAUACAGGGUGACAGCCCCGUACACAAAAGCGCAUGUGCUGUGAGCUCGAUGAGUAGGGCGGGACACGUGGUAUCCUGUCUGAAUAUGGGGGGACCAUCCUCCAAGGCUAAAUACUCCUGACUGACCGAUAGUGAACCAGUACCGUGAGGGAAAGGCGAAAAGAACCCCAGCGAGGGGAGUGAAAAAGAACCUGAAACCGUGUACGUACAAGCAGUGGGAGCCCCACCACCAAAGCAUUCUCUGGUGUUGAAGGCCCUGCAAAGCAGCAUCGCGGUGGCGGAGCGUCGUUUGCGACGCCCAACACACAAAACAAGCGGUGAGUGCUUUGGGGUGGGGUGACUGCGUACCUUUUGUAUAAUGGGUCAGCGACUUAUAUUCUGUAGCAAGGUUAACCGAAUAGGGGAGCCGGAGGGAAACCGAGUCUUAACCGGGCGUUAAGUUGCAGGGUAUAGACCCGAAACCCGGUGAUCUAGCCAUGGGCAGGUUGAAGGUUGGGUAACACUAACUGGAGGACCGAACCGACUAAUGUUGAAAAAUUAGCGGAUGACCUGUGGCUGGGGGUGAAAGGCCAAUCAAACCGGGAGAUAGCUGGUUCUCCCCGAAAGCUAUUUAGGUAGCGCCUCGUGAAUUCAUCUCCGGGGGUAGAGCACUGUUUCGGCUAGGGGGCCAUCCCGGCUUACCAACCCGAUGCAAACUGCGAAUACCGGAGAAUGUUAUCACGGGAGACACACGGCGGGUGCUAACGUCCGUCGUGAAGAGGGAAACAACCCAGACCGCCAGCUAAGGUCCCAAAGUCAUGGUUAAGUGGGAAACGAUGUGGGAAGGCCCAGACAGCCAGGAUGUUGGCUUAGAAGCAGCCAUCAUUUAAAGAAAGCGUAAUAGCUCACUGGUCGAGUCGGCCUGCGCGGAAGAUGUAACGGGGCUAAACCAUGCACCGAAGCUGCGGCAGCGACACUCAGGUGUUGUUGGGUAGGGGAGCGUUCUGUAAGCCUGCGAAGGUGGCCUGUGAGGGUUGCUGGAGGUAUCAGAAGUGCGAAUGCUGACAUAAGUAACGAUAAAGCGGGUGAAAAGCCCGCUCGCCGGAAGACCAAGGGUUCCUGUCCAACGUUAAUCGGGGCAGGGUGAGUCGACCCCUAAGGCGAGGCCGAAAGGCGUAGUCGAUGGGAAACGGGUUAAUAUUCCCGUACUUGGUGUUACUGCGAAGGGGGGACGGAGAAGGCUAUGUUGGCCGGGCGACGGUUGUCCCGGUUUAAGCGUGUAGGUGUGUGUUCCAGGUAAAUCCGGUUCACUUUAACACUGAGGCGUGACGACGAGGCACUACGGUGCUGAAGCAACAAAUGCCCUGCUUCCAGGAAAAGCCUCUAAGCAUCAGGUAACAUCAAAUCGUACCCCAAACCGACACAGGUGGUCAGGUAGAGAAUACCAAGGCGCUUGAGAGAACUCGGGUGAAGGAACUAGGCAAAAUGGUGCCGUAACUUCGGGAGAAGGCACGCUGACACGUAGGUGAAGUGAUUUACUCAUGGAGCUGAAGUCAGUCGAAGAUACCAGCUGGCUGCAACUGUUUAUUAAAAACACAGCACUGUGCAAACACGAAAGUGGACGUAUACGGUGUGACGCCUGCCCGGUGCCGGAAGGUUAAUUGAUGGGGUCAGCGCAAGCGAAGCUCCUGAUCGAAGCCCCGGUAAACGGCGGCCGUAACUAUAACGGUCCUAAGGUAGCGAAAUUCCUUGUCGGGUAAGUUCCGACCUGCACGAAUGGCGUAAUGAUGGCCAGGCUGUCUCCACCCGAGACUCAGUGAAAUUGAACUCGCUGUGAAGAUGCAGUGUACCCGCGGCAAGACGGAAAGACCCCGUGAACCUUUACUAUAGCUUGACACUGAACAUUGAGCCUUGAUGUGUAGGAUAGGUGGGAGGCUUUGAAGUGUGGACGCCAGUCUGCAUGGAGCCGGCCUUGAAAUACCACCCUUUAAUGUUUGAUGUUCUAACGUGGACCCGUGAUCCGGGUUGCGGACAGUGUCUGGUGGGUAGUUUGACUGGGGCGGUCUCCUCCUAAAGAGUAACGGAGGAGCACGAAGGUUGGCUAAUCCUGGUCGGACAUCAGGAGGUUAGUGCAAUGGCAUAAGCCAGCUUGACUGCGAGCGUGACGGCGCGAGCAGGUGCGAAAGCAGGUCAUAGUGAUCCGGUGGUUCUGAAUGGAAGGGCCAUCGCUCAACGGAUAAAAGGUACUCCGGGGAUAACAGGCUGAUACCGCCCAAGAGUUCAUAUCGACGGCGGUGUUUGGCACCUCGAUGUCGGCUCAUCACAUCCUGGGGCUGAAGUAGGUCCCAAGGGUAUGGCUGUUCGCCAUUUAAAGUGGUACGCGAGCUGGGUUUAGAACGUCGUGAGACAGUUCGGUCCCUAUCUGCCGUGGGCGCUGGAGAACUGAGGGGGGCUGCUCCUAGUACGAGAGGACCGGAGUGGACGCAUCACUGGUGUUCGGGUUGUCAUGCCAAUGGCACUGCCCGGUAGCUAAAUGCGGAAGAGAUAAGUGCUGAAAGCAUCUAAGCACGAAACUUGCCCCGAGAUGAGUUCUCCCUGAGACUUUAGGUCUCCUGAAGGAACGUUGAAGACGACGACGUUGAUAGGCCGGGUGUGUAAGCGCAGCGAUGCGUUGAGCUAACCGGUACUAAUGAACCGUGAGGCUUAACCUU